rnacentral:rRNA from 1 species
UACAGAGGGUGCGAGCGUUAAUCGGAAUUACUGGGCGUAAAGCGUGCGUAGACGGUUAUGUAAGUCGGGUGUGAAAGCCCCGGGCUCAACCUGGGAAUGGCAUUCGAGACUGCAUAGCUAGGAUGCGGAAGAGGGAAGCGGAAUUUCCGGUGUAGCGGUGAAAUGCGUAGAUAUCGGAAGGAACAUCAGUGGCGAAAGCGGCGCGCUGGACCACUACUGACGCUGAGGAACGAAAGCUAGGGGAGCAAACAGG